CCUACGGGAGGCAGCAGUGGGGAAUAUUGCACAAUGGGCGCAAGCCUGAUGCAGCGACGCCGCGUGAGGGAUGAAGGCCUUCGGGUUGUAAACCUCUUUCAGUAGGGAAGAAGCGUAAGUGACGGUACCUGUAGAAGAAGCGCCGGCUAACUACGUGCCAGCAGCCGCGGUAAUACGUAGGGCGCAAGCGUUAUCCGGAAUUAUUGGGCGUAAAGAGCUCGUAGGCGGUUUGUCGCGUCUGCCGUGAAAGUCCGGGGCUUAACUCCGGAUCUGCGGUGGGUACGGGCAGACUUGAGUGAUGUAGGGGAGACUGGAAUUCCUGGUGUAGCGGUGAAAUGCGCAGAUAUCAGGAGGAACACCGAUGGCGAAGGCAGGUCUCUGGGCAUUAACUGACGCUGAGGAGCGAAAGCAUGGGGAGCGAACAGGAUUAGAUACCCUGGUAGUCCAUGCCGUAAACGUUGGGCACUAGGUGUGGGGAACAUUCCACGUUUUCCGCGCCGUAGCUAACGCAUUAAGUGCCCCGCCUGGGGAGUACGGCCGCAAGGCUAAAACUCAAAUGAAUUGACGGGG
rnacentral:rRNA from 1 species